GACGAACGCUGGCGGCGUGCUUAACACAUGCAAGUCGAGCGGUAAGGCCCUUUCGGGGGUACACGAGCGGCGAACGGGUGAGUAACACGUGGGUGACCUGCCCUCAGCUCUGGGAUAAGCCUGGGAAACUGGGUCUAAUACUGGAUAUGACUCCACGGUGCAUGUCGUGGGGUGGAAAGCCUUGUGCGGCUGAGGAUGGGCCCGCGGCCUAUCAGCUUGUUGGUGGGGUGAGGCCUACCAAGGCGACGACGGGUAGCCGGCCUGAGAGGGCGACCGGCCACACUGGGACUGAGACACGGCCCAGACUCCUACGGGGAGGCAGCAGGUGGGGAAUCUUGCGACAAUGGGCGAAAGCCUGACGCAGCGACGCCGCGUGAGGGAU
rnacentral:rRNA from 1 species